CCCAGGCGAAGACUGAAGGUUUGCUCUCAGAAGCCAGCAGACGACCAACAGGUGGUGUUGAUUGCUUCAGGUGUGCACUGGAGGGGGGCGGAGAUCCCAGAAGGAUCCCACCCUGUUGUGAGCGACACAGGCACCGAUAUUGGAUUGGUCCACCAGUGAUUCAGCGGGGGAACCAGCUGUGGGAUUGCUGCCUGCAGUGUUUCGAGCUAGAGUUUGCUUGAUUUUAACUGGCAUGAAGCUGAACUGCAGAAGUGGGGGUUAUUCCUAAAGGAUGUAUAUAUAUGUGUGUCAGAGUUAAUCUGGAAUUGCAGAUUGUGGUUUGGAAAUAAUUAAAGUGUCAGUGCAGAACUGCAUCGGCUCAUUUUCACUACCAUAUUCACUUCAUGAUAUUAGUUGAUGACUACAUGUCUCUCUGUCUUGCUCUCUCAUUCUCACUUCAAUAAUGAAGUAUAUAUUAAACCAUAAAGAGAAGUACUUUUUUCCAAUUAGGUUUCAUACAUCACUCAGGACUUCCACUAAUCAUUUCCUGCUUAAUAAAGGAUAGUUAUUAUGAUCAUGGGUUAAAGGGGUCAGAACAAUUCAAAACAGCUUCCCUGGCACCUUUAAUUAACUUUCUUUAUUCAUUCAUGCUGUGCAUUCACGCUUGCUGUCAGUGGAGCGUGCACUUGCCAUACCUCUCUCCAGCAUGUAGCUAUAAGGGGAGUGAGCAUAACAGAGUUCUUUUUUCUAAAGUGUCAGGCGAUUUCAAAUGCAAUAUUUCAAGCAGCUCAACAAAUAUCAACAAACACAAUCUGUCUGCUCGCAGUGCAGUGGGUGUAUGUGUGAUAACGCGUGUGAUAAAAGCUAUGAGAUGGAGAAAGUGGAGGACGUGAAGAAGACAGGAGAUGAAAAUGAGAUUUUUUUUUAAAGGUAAGGGAUUGUACAACAAGUUGCAUUUCAUAAACUGGCCUGUCCACGAGGUUGUGACAUCAAUGGUGCCAACCAUUUGGAUUUAACUUGAGGAUGGUCUUUUACUUUAGCGCUCUACUGGCAAGGUUUAAAAAAGUGGGCUCAUAGCUCAUUUAACAUCUUCUUAAAUAGUACAGCCUGACCCAACCACAGCCUGAAGACAAAGAAAACAAAUCUAGCAUUCAAAGUACAAAUGAAUAUGUGAUUUAUUUAAAUGUGAGUAAUUUCCCCCUGCUUUUCUUCCCACUUAGUCUCUGGCUAGGCUACAAUGCCACUGGCAAUUUACAAAGCAAAGGUUUUUCAAAUGAGUAUUGUGCUUAUUUAAUCAACCUCAGUCCUGCCUGAAUAACUUAAUAAUUUAAUAACGUGACAAAAAAAUAGGUGUGCUUUCGUUUUGAAAAGGCUGAAACAGUUUGUUACUGUAAUUUUAAAAGAGCUGUUACUCAAGCUUAAUCCUGUCAGGAUACUUUCAGUGAGGCAUGUAAUAAACCUUUCAGACAAUUCCGGCAGACACAUAAUAAUUAUGGCACAAUACCAUAAAAACACCAUGAAAGAGGUAUAAGUCUGAAAGAAGCUCAGCGGAGUAAGAUCAGGGAUGACCUGUGCAUAGCAAAAUCAAUAAUAUAAGCACAAUGGACUGAUGCAACCCAAGCAGGUUUGAGGUAGUUUGCAUUUUGCCUAGAGCAUUAUGGCAGCAGAAGGCUGCCAGGUGAAAUAAGUUUAAUUGUUAAAAUAAUUAAACUUUUAUAUCAUUGCAUGCAGCUUAACACAAAAAAUCUAUAAAAGAAUUCCUCAAGUGCUUCACUUCACAAACUGCAUAAAGAAGUGAAGAGUGUUAACCUUGAGUGAA